AGAGUUUGAUCCUGGCUCAGGAUGAACGCUGGCGGUCUGCUUAACACAUGCAAGUCGAACGGGCGCAGAAAUGCGUUAGUGGCGGACGGGUGAGUAACACGUGAGAAUCUGCCAACAGGACGGGGACAACAGGGGGAAACCGCUGCUAAGACCCGAUAAACCGAAAGGGGAAAAAGAAAUUGCCAGUUGAUGAGCUCGCGUCGGAUUAGCUAGUUGGUAGUGUAAGGGACUACCAAGGCGACGAUCCGUAGCCGGUCUGAGAGGACGAUCGGCCACACUGGGACUGAGACACGGCCCAGACUCCUACGGGAGGCAGCAGUGGGGAAUUUUCCGCAAUGGGCGAAAGCCUGACGGAGCAAGACCGCGUGAGGGAGGAAGGCUCUUGGGUUGUAAACCUCUUUUCUCAAGGAAGAAGAAAUGACGGUACUUGAGGAAUCAGCAUCGGCUAACUCCGUGCCAGCAGCCGCGGUAAUACGGAGGAUGCAAGCGUUAUCCGGAAUGAUUGGGCGUAAAGCGUCCGCAGGUGGCAGUUCAAGUCUGCCGUUAAAGACUCCAGCUUAACUGGAGGAAGGCGGUGGAAACUGAACAGCUAGAGUGCGGUAGGGGCAGAGGGAAUUCCCGGUGUAGCGGUGAAAUGCGUAGAGAUCGGGAAGAACACCAGUGGCGAAAGCGCUCUGCUGGACCGCAACUGACACUCAGGGACGAAAGCUAGGGGAGCGAAUGGGAUUAGAUACCCCAGUAGUCCUAGCCGUAAACGAUGGAUACUAGGUGUUGUGCGUAUCGACCCGCGCAGUGCCGCAGCUAACGCGCUAAGUAUCCCGCCUGGGGAGUACGCACGCAAGUGUGAAACUCAAAGGAAUUGACGGGGGCCCGCACAAGCGGUGGAGUAUGUGGUUUAAUUCGAUGCAACGCGAAGAACCUUACCAGGACUUGACAUGUCCGGAAUCUCGGUGAAAGCUGGGAGUGCCUUCGGGAACCGGAACACAGGUGGUGCAUGGCUGUCGUCAGCUCGUGUCGUGAGAUGUUGGGUUAAGUCCCGCAACGAGCGCAACCCUCGUUUCUAGUUGCCAGCAUUAAGUUGGGCACUCUGGAGAGACUGCCGGUGACAAACCGGAGGAAGGUGGGGAUGACGUCAAGUCAGCAUGCCCCUUACGUCCUGGGCUACACACGUACUACAAUGCUUCAGACAAAGGGCAGCUAGCCAGCGAUGGUCAGCAAAUCCCAGAAACUGAGGCUCAGUUCAGAUCGCAGGCUGCAACUCGCCUGCGUGAAGGCGGAAUCGCUAGUAAUCGCCGGUCAGCAUACGGCGGUGAAUACGUUCCCGGGCCUUGUACACACCGCCCGUCACACCAUGGGAGCUGGCGGUGCCCGAAGUCGUUAUCCUAACCCCUCGGGGAGGGAGACGCCGAAGGCAAAGCUGGUGACUGGGGUGAAGUCGUAACAAGGUAGCCGUACCGGAA
rnacentral:rRNA from 1 species